UACGAAGGGGGCUAGCGUUGCUCGGAAUGACUGGGCGUAAAGGGCGCGUAGGCGGUUUGUACAGUCAGAUGUGAAAUUCCUGGGCUUAACCUGGGGGCUGCAUUUGAUACGUGCAGACUUGAGUGAGGAAGAGGGUUGUGGAAUUCCCAGUGUAGAGGUGAAAUUCGUAGAUAUUCGCAAGAACACCAGUGGCGAAGGCGGCUCACUGGCCCGGUACUGACGCUGAGGUGCGAAAGCGUGGGGAGCAAACAGG
rnacentral:rRNA from 1 species